CUGGGCUACACACGUGCUACAAUGGACGGUACAAAGAGCUGCAAGACCGCGAGGUGGAGCUAAUCUCAUAAAACCGUUCUCAGUUCGGAUUGUAGGCUGCAACUCGCCUACAUGAAGCUGGAAUCGCUAGUAAUCGCGGAUCAGCAUGCCGCGGUGAAUACGUUCCCGGGCCUUGUACACACCGCCCGUCACACCACGAGAGUUUGUAACACCCGAAGUCGGUGGGGUAACCUUUAUGGAGCCAGCCGCCUAAGGUGGGACAGAUGAUUGGGGUGAAGUCGUAACAAGGUAGCCGUAUCGGAAGGUGCGGUUG
rnacentral:rRNA from 1 species